UACGUAGGGUGCAAGCGUUUGUCCGGAAUUAUUGGGCGUAAAGAGCUCGUAGGCGGCUUGUCACGUCGGGUGUGAAAGCCCCGGGGCUUAACCCCGGGCCUGCAGUGGGUACGGGCAGACUAGAGUGCGGUAGGGGAGACUGGAAUUCCGUGGUGUAGCGGUGAAAUGCGCAGAUAUCAGGAGGAACACCGGUGGCGAAGGCGGGUCUCUGGGCCGUAACUGACGCUGAGGAGCGAAAGCAUGGGGAGCGAACAGG
rnacentral:rRNA from 1 species